rnacentral:rRNA from 1 species
CAGGAUGAACGCUGGCGGCGUGCUUAACACAUGCAAGUCGAACGGUGAAGCAGAGCUUGCUCUGUGGAUCAGUGGCGAACGGGUGAGUAACACGUGAGCAAUCUGCCCCUGACUCUGGGAUAAGCGCUGGAAACGGCGUCUAAUACCGGAUACGAGCUGCGACCGCAUGGUCAGUAGCUGGAAAGAAUUUCGGUCAGGGAUGAGCUCGCGGCCUAUCAGCUUGUUGGUGAGGUAAUGGCUCACCAAGGCGUCGACGGGUAGCCGGCCUGAGAGGGUGACCGGCCACACUGGGACUGAGACACGGCCCAGACUCCUACGGGAGGCAGCAGUGGGGAAUAUUGCACAAUGGGCGAAAGCCUGAUGCAGCAACGCCGCGUGAGGGAUGACGGCCUUCGGGUUGUAAACCUCUUUUAGCAGGGAAGAAGCGAAAGUGACGGUACCUGCAGAAAAAGCGCCGGCUAACUACGUGCCAGCAGCCGCGGUAAUACGUAGGGCGCAAGCGUUAUCCGGAAUUAUUGGGCGUAAAGAGCUCGUAGGCGGUCUGUCGCGUCUGCUGUGAAAACCCGAGGCUCAACCUCGGGCCUGCAGUGGGUACGGGCAGACUAGAGUGCGGUAGGGGAGAUUGGAAUUCCUGGUGUAGCGGUGGAAUGCGCAGAUAUCAGGAGGAACACCGAUGGCGAAGGCAGAUCUCUGGGCCGUAACUGACGCUGAGGAGCGAAAGGGUGGGGAGCAAACAGGCUUAGAUACCCUGGUAGUCCACCCCGUAAACGUUGGGAACUAGUUGUGGGGUCCAUUCCACGGAUUCCGUGACGCAGCUAACGCAUUAAGUUCCCCGCCUGGGGAGUACGGCCGCAAGGCUAAAACUCAAAGGAAUUGACGGGGACCCGCACAAGCGGCGGAGCAUGCGGAUUAAUUCGAUGCAACGCGAAGAACCUUACCAAGGCUUGACAUAUAGAGGAAACGUCUGGAAACAGUCGCCCCGCAAGGUCUCUAUACAGGUGGUGCAUGGUUGUCGUCAGCUCGUGUCGUGAGAUGUUGGGUUAAGUCCCGCAACGAGCGCAACCCUCGUUCUAUGUUGCCAGCACGUAAUGGUGGGAACUCAUGGGAUACUGCCGGGGUCAACUCGGAGGAAGGUGGGGAUGACGUCAAAUCAUCAUGCCCCUUAUGUCUUGGGCUUCACGCAUGCUACAAUGGCCGGUACAAAGGGCUGCAAUACCGUGAGGUGGAGCGAAUCCCAAAAAGCCGGUCCCAGUUCGGAUUGAGGUCUGCAACUCGACCUCAUGAAGUCGGAGUCGCUAGUAAUCGCAGAUCAGCAACGCUGCGGUGAAUACGUUCCCGGGUCUUGUACACACCGCCCGUCAAGUC